ACUUUGCAGGCCAAGUAAAUGGAAGACAUGGCGACCAGGUAGAGGUCAUAUGCAUCCAGGUUGAUCUUGCAGAAAAACUUAUAGUAAAUGGUGCACGCAGUAGCAAUGGGGAUGGACUGCAUGCCUAGCUUGACGCCUGCCUCCAUGAUGAACCGGGUUACUUGAAAGUACACCCUCGCCUCGGGAGCCGGCCUCUCCUAGGCUCGCUGCACCUCCUUCAACCUUUCGCAGCUGUCUGUUCCAACAGCCUCCAUAAGGCCCACGAUUGCAUGGCACUUAAGUAAUACUUCAUUUUCUAAGAAAUUCAUCCUGUACUUUGCAGCACUAGGAUAUUUUGACACCUGUGAAUCAUAACUAUGAUCCCAAACUCUAAGAACUAUUGGAGUUCCCUGACCUGUGUGGUCCCAGCCCUCCGCCUUUGGCCUCGACUUAGGCUUUAUGUUGUUUCUUUCCGGGGGCUCUGAUGAAUGCCCUGAGGAGACGGAUGUACAUGUGAGACAUAACUAUGGCCCCGAACUGUAAGAAUUACUGGAGUUUCCUGGACCAUGUUGUCCCAGCCUUCCACCUUUGGCCACGACUUAGGUUUUAUGUUGUUUCUUUCCGGAGCGCCCUGAUGAAGGUCCUGAGGAGAUGGUUGUAUUUGAUCUCUGCUGAGGAAGACUGACUUUUGUAGGCAGAGUCCUCUGUCAUGAGGUUUGGAGGACAUCUCUGUGCCCUGCAUCCUCCUCCUCCUCUUGAGGGGCUCCGGCUUGGCUUCUGCCUGCAAGGAAGUUACUUCCAACCGUUGAGAAGACUGUGCCUUCUUUCCUUUGGAGACUUGGGUGGCUUUCAGUCCCUCUUGGCCUGAAGACAUUGGCUUCUACCCCUCUCCAGAACACUGCUCUCCGACUACAAGGGGACAAGCUAUCUGGUCUGAAUGCCUACAAUAGGGCUUGAACUUCUUGCCCUGGGAAAAGGUGUUUUCUUCUAGGGCAAGACUUUCACAGUACCGGAAAGGUUCUUGUGACUGUAGGAGUCCUGUGUUGUCUCCCCCUAGAUGUCCCCUCCUACACUCCUCCAGGCUCAUUGGUUGCUGUUUCGGAUGUUUCUUGCAGGGGUGUGUGUUGUUCAUAAACACCUCUUGCUUGGGGAGAUGUCUGACGUCUAUUAGAUAUGAGGCUUUUUCUGUUUGCUUUCUAGCCUUGUUAAGCAACUCCAUUGUCCACUUCUUCCCUUGGGCCUCCUUUGCUGUUGCCUUGGGGCUAUUCUUUGGCAAGCCACUGGGCCCAACUAAUGUCUGCCUGUCCUCAGGGCCUUCCACCACAGAUUUGCCCUGAAAGAUUCUUUUGAAGACUAUAGUCAAGCUUGGAUUAGGGUCAGGGGCAUGGUCCUUGCCCCCACUCCUUAUAAGGCAUGGAAGAUGGCCUGGCUUCCUCUUGCCAUGAGCAGUGCUAGGCAGCUCUGCCAGGCUAUGCUGAGGCUGAUGAUCACCCAGAUCCGGUCUACUUCCUGGGAUGACCCUGAGGUCAUUAACCCCCUGGGUUACCAACCUCGACCCAGUGGCCUGUCUAGAGGUUUGUCCCCUUAAUUGUUCAUUAAUGUCAAUAAAUCAUAUUGUCCUGACUUUCAGAAAGGUGGAAUUCAGCCUUUCAGAACACAUGUCCUCUUGCCCUAGGAGGCUUUACCCUUCUAAGUCCUACCCUGAAAUCAAUAAAACUCUUCUCUCUACU
rnacentral:lncRNA from 1 species